rnacentral:rRNA from 1 species
AACACCAUGCCAAGUCGAACGCGAAAGGGGACUUCGGUCCCGAGUAGAGUGGCGCACGGGUGAGUAACGCGUAAGUGAUCUACCCCUGUAUCUGGAAUAACCCACCGAAAGGUGAGCUAAUACCGGAUACGUUUAUCUUGAUGCGAAUGAUGAUAAAGAAAGGUGGCCUCUUCAUGAAAGCUACCGUACAGGGACGAGCUUGCGUACCAUUAGCUGGUUGGUAGGGUAAUGGCCUACCAAGGCGACGAUGGUUAGCGGGUCUGAGAGGAUGAUCCGCCACACUGGAACUGAAACACGGACCAGACUCCUACGGGAGGCAGCAGUGAGGAAUAUUGCGCAAUGGGGGCAACCCUGACGCAGCGACGCCGCGUGGACGAUGAAGGCCCUUGGGUCGUAAAAUCCUGUCAGAUGGAAAGAAAUGUACAGGUGUUAAUAUCGCCUGUAUUUGACGGGUACCAUCAAAG